ACCCGAAAUCAUCUUAGCUGACCUGAAAGGGRGGCGGGUGCUGAAGGUAUGGGGAGUGAUUGGGGUGAAGUCGUAACAAGGUAGCUGUAGGUGAACCUGCAGAAGGAUCA
rnacentral:rRNA from 1 species